GGCUGGUCCGAAGGAAGUGAGUUACCUCAGUUGAUGGGUCACAGUCAGUUACAGAUCAACCUCCUUGUCCUACUCUUUCCCCUCAUCUGACUAUUGUAUUUCACUAGUCUUAA
ensembl:misc_RNA Y_RNA Y RNA